rnacentral:rRNA from 1 species
AUUGAACGCUGGCGGCAUGCUUUACACAUGCAAGUCGAACGGGCUGGGGGCAACUCCAGUCAGUGGCGAACGGGUGAGUAAUGCAUCGGAACGUGUCCCGUAGUGGGGGAUAACCCGGCGAAAGCCGGACUAAUACCGCAUAUGCUCUACGGAGGAAAGUGGGGGACCGCAAGGCCUCACGCUAUGGGAGCGGCCGAUGUCCGAUUAGCUUGUUGGUGGGGUAAUGGCCUACCAAGGCGACGAUCGGUAGCUGGUCUGAGAGGAUGAUCAGCCACACUGGGACUGAGACACGGCCCAGACUCCUACGGGAGGCAGCAGUGGGGAAUUUUGGACAAUGGGGCAACCCUGACCCAGCCAUGCCGCGUGCGGGAAGAAGG